AUUGAACGCUGGCGGCAGGCCUAACACAUGCAAGUCGAGCGGAUGAAGGGAGCUUGCUCCUGGAUUCAGCGGCGGACGGGUGAGUAAUGCCUAGGAAUCUGCCUGGUAGUGGGGGAUAACGUCCGGAAACGGGCGCUAAUACCGCAUACGUCCUGAGGGAGAAAGUGGGGGAUCUUCGGACCUCACGCUAUCAGAUGAGCCUAGGUCUGAUUAGCUAGUUGGUGGGGUAAAGGCCUACCAAGGCGACGAUCCGUAACUGGUCUGAGAGGAUGAUCAGUCACACUGGAACUGAGAAAAGGUCCAGACUACUGCGGGAGGCAACAGUGGGGAAUAUUGGACAAUGGGCGAAAGCCUGAUCCAGCCAUGCCGCGUGUGUGAAGAAGGUCUUCGGAUUGUAAAGCACUUUAAGUUGGGAGGAAGGGCAGUAAGUUAAUACCUUGCUGUUUUGACGUUACCAACAGAAUAAGCACCGGCUAACUUCGUG
rnacentral:rRNA from 1 species